UCUGAUCAUUCACUUGUCAUAUAUUUUGGGGGGAGGGUGUUGAGGGCCACAUACAAUAGAAGUGUGUGGACUCUUCUAUUUCGGUCUCUUUACUAAACGCCGUGUUGGAAGUCGAGAUCAGGACGUUAUCAGAGCCAGCCACAAAUGCCAGAUGAAAAGCAGCAAACAUCCGGAGUGACUUCCUGCAAGCCUUGCUUUUCUCAACACGAGAGAUUUACGCGCGGGGGGGCGGUGGGGGCCCUAACAAGUUUCGCGAGUAAGAGCCUUGUACACCCGCUCGUGUAGCCGGCCGCGUGCAUUCGCAUUGCACAGUCCAGGAUUUCUGGGCUCCUGGCUACAAAUUGCAUUCGCGGUUCCCAGGCCAGACCCGAGGCUCGAAAGGCUGGGCGAGGAGGCGACUAGCGCAGCAAGAAGCUGUGCCUGUUACCACUCGGGGUUUUCGGCCAGCGGGCGCAGAAAUUAACCCGGGUUCAGAGAAGGGAGCUACUGAUGGCCAUGACCUCCAGACUCGAUCCCAGCACCUUUCGGAGCCACCAGCUCAGAGCAGGCUGCUCUGCUCUUUUCUCAAGGAUGUCGUCCUCACUGGGCUUCCAGUUCUUAGUCACACAAUCAUAAGGAACUGCCCAAAUCUCGUCCAUAGUGAAGAUCAAACAAGAAUUAAACAAGCAAACAAUAAACACUGCGUUGACUUAACCCAACCACAGCAGGUUGAUUCUGAAGGGCACCUUUUACAGACUGGUGACAUGAUUUAGUGGCGUGAGUUUAAAUUUCAUCAUAUACUCAUUGGGCAAGCAGCAUUCACAUGCUCAAGUGUUGUUAAUUAGUGAUCUAGAGCUGUCGGACAACUUGGAGGAGCCAACCUUCAGCAGAAUUUGGGAGAAGUAGAGUACAAAGUGACCAUAUCUUGAUUGACACUGUCUUCAAAGGUCUACUAAUCCCAGUAUCUAUGUGAAUUGUUUUAUGACACAAGUUGAGUUACCAACUGGGCUUGAUGUUGAUGGAAAAUACUCUAAAACAAACAGCACUUAGAUUUCUUGCUUAUCACAAUAAGAUUAGCAUUUGCAGAUAGGCCCUGAAAGUGACCCUAAUUCUUUCAUGAUAGGGUUAAAUUGACACUGGAGUAGUAGAGAGAAGGAAACAUUGCCUCUGUGAGUCAUGUGUCCUUGGACUUUUGCUGUCCCUAUGUUAGGCUAAGUUUGAUUGUCAUGAUCUAAAAUAUGGACAAACAGAAUCAAUUUUUCUAUAUGGACUUUUCAAAACACUGAGUCACAUUUUAUUAAUGUUUGCAAUAUUCAGGAAAGUUGGAUGUACACAAGAACUCAUAUUUUUAGGGAAACAGCGAAUGUGCUUCUCAUUCCCCACCAGGGCUGGAUGAUGGACACCUUAGUCCAUAGAGUUGAUCACAUCUGAGCCUUGACAAAAAGGGGAGCCUUGGAGUUAUAGUUAGUUAUACUCAGCUGGUUGUGGAAAUAAUUUCCAACUAUAUUUCCUGCACACAGGGUUCUAACUGGGGUACAAAGCAAUGCAGAAAACGUUCCCCUGCUAAAUUGGGUGCAAGCAAGGCUACACACAGCCCUGAAGACAUCUGCUCCCUGGCUUCUGUGCUGGAACGUGUGAGGACAAGAAAAGGAAGCUCCUCAUGGGGUCAGGAAGUAGAUUGGGCCCAUCUGAGAGACAGCUUUUCAGGUUCUGGAAAGAGAAGGCGACUGAAAGCUGCUUCUCUGAGACCAGAGAAACAUGCCUCUCCUUCUGCCUCCUCACAGGGAGGAGGGCAGAGACAGGGCUCAAGGAGAAGCGAAGAGGGCUGCUCUUUGCCCAAAUCUCAGAGGCAUCAUGCCCACCUGCCACGCUGCACCACAACAAUUACAUGAAGCACGAAGAGUUGCUUUCAUUAGUAAAGUAAACUGCACAUUUCUUCCUUCUUGAUAGCUCAUUGAACAUAGCGCCUAGUCAUAUGUUCAAAGCUCUAGAAACUAGACAGAACUUAGAGAUAUGCAUGGAAAUAACUUCCUUUAUUUGAUCAGUGAGAAUAGAAGUGACUAGGGCAUGACCACAAGCAGGAAGACUAAAGGAGAAUGUUGGUGAAAUUCAAAUAAGAAAUGCAAUAAUCGGGGCUGGCCCCGUGGCCGAGUGGUUAAGUUCGCGCGCUCCGC